rnacentral:lncRNA from 1 species
UGGGGAUAGGAUGAAGAAAUGUUUAGGGCCCUGAGUUCUUGCCAGAGUGAGGACAGCCCCUUGGAGUUCAGAGUACCGUGCUGGACAUGUAGGCAGCUGCCCGCUGUCCCAGCUGCAGUAGGCUAGAUUCUGCUGCCAGAUUCACCUAGCCAACAAUUUUGCCUUUGGCCAUCUUGUCCCAGAGAAAUGAGAUUCUGUCAUUCACAUUAAGACCUCUUCCCUCCCAGAAAUAUCAUCUCCUGGGAAGAUGGCCCUAGGGGAAUAGAGACCUGGGUUCUAUCAAGAGACAGCUGUUUGCUGUAGUACUCAUAUAAAUGCCACAUGUUUGCCAUCCUUGAGAAGAACCUUCUUUCUAACUGGGCAGGCACUGUAUCUUCAGCAGGACCCAGCAAUUAAGGGGAAGGCUUGUGCUGUGUAAGCAUGUCCUCUAUACUGGAAGCCCUUUAACAACAGAAGGAUGUAAAAUAU